AUUGAACGCUGGCGGAAUGCUUUACACAUGCAAGUCGAACGGCAGCACGGACUUCGGUCUGGUGGCGAGUGGCGAACGGGUGAGUAAUGUAUCGGAACGUGCCCAGUCGUGGGGGAUAACGUAGUGUAAAUUACGCUAAUACCGCAUACGAUCUAUGGAUGAAAGCGGGGGAUCGCAAGACCUCGCGCGAUUGGAGCGGCCGAUAUCAGAUUAGGUAGUUGGUGGGGUAAAGGCCCACCAAGCCAACGAUCUGUAGCUGGUCUGAGAGGACGACCGGCCACACUGGACCUGAGACACGGUCAAGACUCCUACGGGAGGCAGCAGUGGGGAAUUUUGGACAAUGGGCGAAAGCCUGAUCCAGCCAUUCCGCGGGCAGGAUGAAGGCCCUCGGGUUGUAAACUGCUUUCGUACAGAACGAAAAGGUUUCUACUAAUACUAGGAGCUCAUGACGGUACUGUAAGAAUAAGCACCGGCUAACCACGUGCCAGCCGCCGCCGUAA
rnacentral:rRNA from 1 species